rnacentral:lncRNA from 1 species
AUGUUUCCCCCUCCGUGCAGGGCCGAGGGCUGGUCUGAAAUGUCAUUUGUCAAGGCGAGGCAGGGAGAGGUGAGGCCUGCAUGCUCCCUGCCCCCCCCCCCCACGGCGCUGCGGCGGGCCAUUUGUCUUGUGAGAGCGUGGCGGGGCUCCGCGGCCAGCCGGCUGCUGGGCCCAGUGCCUAUUGAUCAGCGCUGUGGGCUCUGGCAGGGCUGGCGGGCGGCGGCGGGGGGAGGAGCUGCCCGGGGAGCGAGAUUAGAACAGCGGGUAUCGAGCACCUGCUGUGUGCCCCAGCCCGGCCUCCGGCCGCCUGCCCCCCCCCCGCAGCGGGGCCUUGCUGCUGCCCCUGGAGCCGAGCCUGACCCUCAGGGCCUCCCAGGCAGGCUCCAGCCCCAGCCCUUCGUUCACUCGGUCACUCGUUCCGUCCACGGAGCAGCCUUGGAGGUGCAGGGCGGCAGGGCAGGGGGCGGCACCAGAAGACCUGGCCUCCUGCCCCCCACCCCCACCCCCAGCCUGGCCCUGGACGCCCGAGCCAGGCUGACCGCGUGUUGCCCCCCCGACCUGAGGGGCUGCCAUUCCUGCCGGUGCUGCUGGCUGCUCUGCAGCUUCCGGGGAGGGGUCUUCAGGCCCCCGGCUGGGGCUUGGUCACGGCAGGGGCUACAGGACAGCCCCAGCCCCAGGCCCCACCAGCGGGACCUCUCAGAGGACACAUGGGAGAUGUGUGGGAAGACCCACAGCUACCUUCCAGGUGUGAUGCUGGGAGCCACGGCAGCCCUCGCACAGCCAGGAGGAGGCGAAGAAGAGGACGAAGAGCACCAGAGAGAAGAGGCUGCCUUGCUUCCUGCAGCCGGACUCCUCCUGCCACGGGAGACGUCCGUGGCCUCCUUGUCCACGCUCUGUCAGCUGAGCCCGUCUGUGCCGGGAGGAGCAGUAUCCCACACCAGGAGGGGCUUUGCAAUGGGGACAGCACCCCGGGCCUUCUGGGCGAGUUGGGAGGCAGGAGGGUCAGGGACAGUGGUCCACAGAACUGGCCACAAGCCACCGAAUGUGGCAGCCUCUAGGAGGAGGAUGUAG